rnacentral:misc_RNA from 1 species
UCAUCUUCCCAUCAAUCAUGAUGAGAACUCAAAAAAUAGAACCAAUUUGAUGAUGCAACAACUUAACAGUAGCAAACAAGAAACCCAAAAAAGCCACUAGAGAAAAAUGCAAACAAGAUUGAAGAAAUAGUCAAGGCAGAGGCAUGACAUACAAAAAAAAAUUGCUAGGAAGAAGAACAGUAAAAAAAGGAAUCACGGGCCGGCGCGUGAGGAAAGAAAGCCGCAAGAUUGUGAUGGCGAGUGGGGCCAUAUGCUUGUCCAGAUGGCACUGGAUUUUUCACAAUAGGCCAAUCAAUGGCCAAGCUUCCUCCUGGGACAAGCGGUGUUGAUCAACUCCCUCUUGAGUGUCACCUAGUAGCUUGACCCUCCUAAGCCCUAAAACACAUAUUUGAAACCUAUGCCUUGAAAUCACUGGCAAGGCUCUGAUACCAUUUUGAAACUGACGUAUUUAAG